UACAGAGGUCUCAAGCGUUGUUCGGAUUCAUUGGGCGUAAAGGGUGCGUAGGCGGCGCGGUAAGUCGGGUGUGAAAUCUCGGAGCUCAACUCCGAAACGGCAUUGGAUACUAUUCGGCUUGAGGGUUGGAGGGGGGACUGGAAUUCUCGGUGUAGCAGUGAAAUGCGUAGAUAUCGAGAGGAACACCAGUGGCGAAGGCGAGUCCCUGGACAACUCCUGACACUAAGGCACGAAAGCUAGGGGAGCAAACAGG
rnacentral:rRNA from 1 species